rnacentral:rRNA from 1 species
UACGAAGGGGGCUAGCGUUGCUCGGAAUCACUGGGCGUAAAGGGUGCGUAGGCGGGUCUUUAAGUCAGGGGUGAAAUCCUGGGAGCUCAACUCCAGAACUGCCUUUGAUACUGAAGAUCUUGAGUUCGGGAGAGGUGAGUGGAACUGCGAGUGUAGAGGUGAAAUUCGUAGAUAUUCGCAAGAACACCGGUGGCGAAGGCGGCCAACUGGUCCGGAUCUGACGCUGAGGCGCGAAAGCGUGGGGAGCAAACAGG